rnacentral:rRNA from 1 species
UUUGCAUAUUCUCAAAAAGCGGAGGAAAAGAAACCAACAGGGAUUGCCUCAGUAACGGCGAGUGAAGCGGCAACAGCUCAAAUUUGAAAUCUGGCCUCUUUGGGGUCCGAGUUGUAAUUUGUAGAGGAUGUUUCGGGCACCGCUCCGGUUUAAAUUUCUUGGAACAGAAUGUCAAAGAGGGUGAGAACCCCGUCUUGGACCGGCAGUAGGGCCCAUGUGAAACUCCUUCGACGAGUCGAGUUGUUUGGGAAUGCAGCUCAAAAUGGGUGGUAAAUUUCAUCUAAAGCUAAAUAUUGGCCAGAGACCGAUAGCGCACAAGUAGAGUGAUCGAAAGAUGAAAAGCACUUUGAAAAGAGAGUUAAACAGUACGUGAAAUUGUUGAAAGGGAAGCGCUUGCAACCAGACUUGCGCGCGGCGGUUCCCCCUUCCUUUUGGUUGGGUUAUUCCGCCGUGUCCAGGCCAACAUCGGUUCUGGGGGUCGGUUAAAGGCCUGGGGAAUGUAUCUACCCUUCGGGCGUAGACUUAUAGCCCCGGGUGUCAUGCGACCUCCCGGGACCGAGGAACGCGCUUCGGCUCGGAUGUUGGCGUAAUGGUUGUCAGCGACCCGUCUUGAACCCCCGGACCAAAAA